rnacentral:rRNA from 1 species
GACGAACGCUGGCGGCGUGCUUAACACAUGCAAGUCGAACGAAGAGCGAUGGAAGCUUGCUCCUAUCAAUCUUAGUGGCGAACGGGUGAGUAACGCGUAAUCAACCUGCCCUUCAGAGGGGGACAACAGUUGGAAACGACUGCUAAUACCGCAUACGAUCUAAUCUCGGCAUCGAGGAUAGAUGAAAGGUGGCCUCUACAUGUAAGCUAUCACUGAAGGAGGGGAUUGCGUCUGAUUAGCUAGUUGGAGGGGUAACGGCCCACCAAGGCGAUGAUCAGUAGCCGGUCUGAGAGGAUGAACGGCCACAUUGGGACUGAGACACGGCCCAGACUCCUACGGGAGGCAGCAGUGGGGAAUCUUCCGCAAUGGACGAAAGUCUGACGGAGCAACGCCGCGUGAGUGAUGACGGCCUUCGGGUUGUAAAGCUCUGUUAAUCGGGACGAAAGGCCUUCUUGCGAAUAGUGAGAAGGAUUGACGGUACCGGAAUAGAAAGCCACGGCUAACUACGUG